rnacentral:rRNA from 1 species
GGCUCAGGAUGAACGCUGGCGGUAUGCUUAACACAUGCAAGUCGAACGGGAAUCUUAGGAUUCUAGUGGCGGACGGGUGAGUAACGCGUGAGAAUUUGGCUUCAGGUCGGGGACAACAGUUGGAAACGACUGCUAAUACCGGAUAUGCCGAAAGGUGAAAGAUUUAUUGCCUGAAGAUAAGCUCGCGUCUGAUUAGCUAGUUGGUGGGGUAAGAGCCUACCAAGGCGACGAUCAGUAGCUGGUCUGAGAGGAUGAUCAGCCACACUGGGACUGAGACACGGCCCAGACUCCUACGGGAGGCAGCAGUGGGGAAUUUUCCGCAAUGGGCGAAAGCCUGACGGAGCAAUACCGCGUGAGGGAGGAAGGCUCUUGGGUCGUAAACCUCUUUUCUCAGGGAAGAAAAAAAUGACGGUACCUGAGGAAUAAGCAUCGGCUAACUCCGUGCCAGCAGCCGCGGUAAUACGGAGGAUGCAAGCGUUAUCCGGAAUGAUUGGGCGUAAAGGGUCUGUAGGUGGUGCUGUAAGUCUGCUGUUAAAGAGUCACGCUCAACGUGAUAAAAGCGGUGGAAACUACAGGACUAGAGUGCGGUCGGGGCAGAAGGAAUUCCUGGUGUAGCGGUGAAAUGCGUAGAUAUCAGGAAGAACACCGGUGGCGAAAGCGCUCUGCUAGUCCGCAACUGACACUGAGGGACGAAAGCUAGGGGAGCGAAUGGGAUUAGAUACCCCAGUAGUCCUAGCCGUAAACGAUGGAUACUAGGCGUGGCUUGUAUCGACCCGAGCCGUGCCGGAGCUAACGCGUUAAGUAUCCCGCCUGGGGAGUACGCACGCAAGUGUGAA